UACGUAGGGUCCGAGCGUUGUCCGGAAUUACUGGGCGUAAAGAGCUCGUAGGUGGUUUGUCGCGUUGUUCGUGAAAACUCACAGCUUAACUGUGGGCGUGCGGGCGAUACGGGCAGACUUGAGUACUGCAGGGGAGACUGGAAUUCCUGGUGUAGCGGUGGAAUGCGCAGAUAUCAGGAGGAACACCGGUGGCGAAGGCGGGUCUCUGGGCAGUAACUGACGCUGAGGAGCGAAAGCGUGGGGAGGGAACAGG
rnacentral:rRNA from 1 species